rnacentral:lncRNA from 1 species
CCCCAUGUCAGAUUUGCUCUAAAUGCUUUGGUUUUUGAGUUAUAAGCCAAAAACUGCAUUUUACCCCUAUGUUCUAUUUUUAGCCAUGGCGGCCAUCUUGGUUGGUUGGCCGGGUCACCGAACACAUUUUUUAAACUAGAUACCCCAAUGAUGAUUGUGGCCAAGUUUGGUUAAAUUUGGCCCAGUAGUUUCAGAGGAGAAGAUUUUUGUAAAAGUUAACGACGACGGACGACGGACGACGGACGACGCCGGACGACGACGGACGCCGGACGACGACGGACGCCGGACGACGACGGACGCCGGACGCCAAGUGAUGAGAAAAGCUCACUUGGCC